AUUGAACGCUGGCGGCAUGCUUUACACAUGCAAGUCGAACGGCAGCGGGGGCGUUCGGCCCGCCGGCGAGUGGCGAACGGGUGAGUAAUGCAUCGGAACGUGCCCACGUCGUGGGGGAGUAACACAUCGAAAGAUGUGCUAAUACCGCAUACGUCCUGAGGGAGAAAGCGGGGGAUCUUCGGACCUCACGUGAUUGGAGCGGCCGAUGUCAGAUUAGCUAGUUGGUGAGGUAAAGGCUCACCAAGGCGACGAUCUGUAGCGGGUCUGAGAGGAUGAUCCGCCACACUGGGACUGAGACACGGCCCAGACUCCUACGGGAGGCAGCAGUAGGGAAUUUUCGGCAAUGGGGGGAAACCCUGACCGAGCAAUGCCGCGUGAACGAUGAAGGUCUUCGGAUUGUAAAGUUCUGUGAUUGGGGAAGAAUGGUAUUCUUAGGGAAUGAGGAGUACAUGACGGUACCCGAUUAGAAAGCCCCGGCUAACUAUGUGCCAGCAG
rnacentral:rRNA from 1 species